GGCAAAUUGGAAAGUGCUGCCUUCCC
rnacentral:piRNA from 1 species